AUAAAAUAUAAUUGUUAUUUAAAAAUUUAUUUUAUAAUUAUAAUAUAAAUAAAAUUUUAAUAUAUAGAUUAUUUAAAUUUAAAAAAUUUAAUAUCAUUUAUUUAAUAUUUAAAAUAAUUAUAUUUAUUAAUGUAGGUAUAGUAAAUUAUAAAAAUAGUAAUAAAUUUAGUGCCAGCAAUUGCGGUUAAACUAAUUGGAUUAUAAAUAAAUUAAUAUAAUUAAGAUGUAAUUAAGAAGACAAUAAAAUUAAAGUAAUAAUUUAAAUUAAUUAGGUUAUAUGGUGAAAUAUUUAAUAUUUAAUAAAAAUUAUGAAGUAAUAUUUAUAAAGGAUUUGUAAAUUAAGUAUAAAACUAGGAUUUGAUACCCUAUUAUUUUAAUAAAUUUUUAAAUUAAUUAAAAAAUAAAUGUAAAUCAUUAAAUUUAAAUGAUUUGGCGGUAUUUUAAAUAGUCAGAGGAACUUGUUGAAUAAAUGAUAAUCCACGAUAGGAAGGUCUUAAUUAGUUUUUAUGUAUUGUUAUUUUAAAUUAUUUUAAAAGAAUAUGAUUGGUAAAUUAUGUUUAAGAGUUUAAUUUAAAUCAAAAUGUAGGAUUUUUAAGUUUAAAUGAGUUACAUUUUUUUUAAUUAUUGGAUUUUUAAUUUUAAUUAUUAUUUUAAAAAAGGAUUUGAUAGUAAAUAUAUAUAAUUUAAUAUAUUGAAAUUUAAUUAAAAUAUGUACAAAUUGCCCGUCAUUUUCAUGAAGGUUAAAUAUAUAAGUGAAAAAAGUCGUAACAAAGUAAGUGUAUAUGAAUAUGUACUUAGAGUAUA
rnacentral:ncRNA from 1 species